GGGCAUUUCUUUGCUCAGAGAGCGCAGGGAGCCAGGGAGUCUCUGGAAUGUGUUGCCGGCUGGUGCCUGGGUCUCUGCACUCGCUCAAGAGGCCAUUGGCUGGGGCAAAAAUCACAUCACAUCGGGAGAUCCCUGGCAUGGAAACCAUCAGGCCUAUGAGAUUCGUUCAUCCCAAGUCCCUUCAUUUCCUCCAUUAUCUUUUCUUAUUUACUUACAUUAAAUCUCAAUAAAUUACCAUUCAUUACA